rfam:Schistosoma mansoni strain Puerto Rico chromosome W, complete genome
GUCCAGCUGACGAGUCCCAAAUAGGACGAAACACGCGUCAAACUGGAU